AACUUUCAGCAAUGGAUCACUUGGCUCCAGCAUCGAUGAAGAACGUAGCGAAACGCGAUAUGUAAUGUGAAUUGCAGAAUUCAGUGAAUCAUCGAAUCUUUGAACGCACAUGGCGCCUUCCAGUAUCCUGGGAGGCAUGCCUGUCCGAGCGUCGUUUCAACCCUCGAGCCCCCGUGGCCCGGCGUUGGGGAUCUGCCACGGCAGGCCCCUAAAACCAGUGGCGGACCCGAAAGGCCCUCUCCUUUGCGCAGUAGCAUCAGCCUCGCAUCGGGAGCCCUCGGCGUCCUGCCUCUAAACCCCACACAAGCCCGCUCCGGCGGCACCAAGGUUGACCUCGGAUCAGGUAGGAAUACCCGCUGAACUUAAGCAUAUCAAUAAGCGGAGGCU
rnacentral:misc_RNA from 1 species